rnacentral:rRNA from 1 species
CCUACGGGUUGCACCAGUGGGGAAUAUUGGACAAUGGGCGAAAGCCUGAUCCAGCAAUGCCGCUUGUAAAGCUCUUUCGUCGAGUGCGCGAUCAUGACGGUACCCGUAGAAGAAGCCCCGGCUAACUUCGUGCCAGCAGCCGCGGUAAUACGAAGGGGGCUAGCGUUGCUCGGAAUGACUGGGCGUAAAGGGCGCGUAGGCGGUUUAUGCAGUCAGAUGUGUAAUCCCCGGGCUUAACCUGGGAACUGCAUUUGAGACGCAUAGACUAGAGGUCGAGAGAGGGUUGUGGAAUUCCCAGUGUAGAGGUGAAAUUCGUAGAUAUUGGGAAGAACACCGGUGGCGAAGGCGGCAACCUGGCUCGAUACUGACGCUGAGGCGCGAAAGCGUGGGGAGCAAACAGGAUUAGAUACCCGUGUAGUC